UACGAAGGGGGCUAGCGUUGCUCGGAAUCACUGGGCGUAAAGCACACGUAGGCGGCUUCUUAAGUCAGGGGUGAAAUCCUGGAGCUCAACUCCAGAACUGCCUUUGAUACUGAGGAGCUUGAGUCCGGGAGAGGUGAGUGGAAUUCCUGGUGUAGCGGUGGAAUGCGCAGAUAUCAGGAGGAACACCAAUGGCGAAGGCGGCGCUCUGGGCUGGAACUGACGCUGAGGAGCGAAAGCGUGGGGAGCGAACAGG
rnacentral:rRNA from 1 species